rnacentral:snRNA from 1 species
GUUUCCUUAAGAUUAGAUC